rnacentral:rRNA from 1 species
GGGGGAUAACGUUCGGAAACGGACGCUAAUACCGCAUACGUCCUACGGGAGAAAGCAGGGGACCUUCGGGCCUUGCGCUAUCAGAUGAGCCUAGGUCGGAUUAGCUAGUUGGUGAGGUAAUGGCUCACCAAGGCUACGAUCCGUAACUGGUCUGAGAGGAUGAUCAGUCACACUGGAACUGAGACACGGUCCAGACUCCUACGGGAGGCAGCAGUGGGGAAUAUUGGACAAUGGGCGAAAGCCUGAUCCAGCCAUGCCGCGUGUGUGAAGAAGGUCUUCGGAUUGUAAAGCACUUUAAGUUGGGAGGAAGGGCAGUUACCUAAUACGUGACUGUCUUGACGUUACCGACAGAAUAAGCACCGGCUAACUCUGUGCCAGCAGCCGCGG